rnacentral:misc_RNA from 1 species
GUAUUGGGCAUUUUCUGGCAAAGGUAAUUUAACUUCUUUGACAACAUGGCACACUUUUAGCUUGUUCUUGGUAUUAACUGCCAACCUGGACAGAUAAAAGCUAGUAUUAAAAAACAGCGUAUCUGCCAUUUCAUACAGAAUUUCAUUACACUGUUUGGGUUUUAUGCUGCCUGACACAGGACAAUACAGGUGUUAUGGACUGCUAUGGUCCAAUAUGCCCAUUAUGUAAUGGCUGUAACAAUUGUCACUGAUAUAAGGACCCAAAACUAUGAAUUUUAUUUUUCUGCAGACAACCUUAUUCUCAUUUCCCACCAGUUGUAAAACCCAUAUAGAAUGGAUAUGUUUUGAUCAAAAUGAGUUUAAGCCCAUUUGAAAUUUGUUUCAAUGAGCUCCUAGUGGGUGCUUUAGAUACAAUUCGUUAAAGUGACAAUUAAUGUGGAAAACUGAAAUGAUGGAAAACUAAUAGUUGUGAGCGUAUGGCACAUAUUAGCUUCAAUUAGCAGCUUAAUGAACCUGCAAGAAGAUUCCAAACAUCUAUAACCAUUACUGCCAGCUUUUAUGACUUAUGAGCUGCCUGAUGGGCUUUUAUGGACUCUAUCUACUCUUCAAAUGACACAUUCAAAUUGCCAUGGUGUUGAUGAAUUUCUCUAUCCCUAUGGUGUCGUAAAUAAAUAUUGUAUUUUAAUAUUUGAUAUAGGAUGCACAAAUCCCAAAUUAUGGAUUACUUGCUUGUCUGAUCACCUUCUUUCUCCCACAAUAUAAAGCUUAUAAUGUGGGACUCAUUUGGCAUUGAAUUAACUUUAACUAUUUGCAAAAGCCAUUUGCUUGGUGUAAAUACAACCUUGGGCUUGCAACCAUAAGGGUGUAGGUUCAUGUUUUAGGAGCAGCCAUUUCAUGCAACAGUGCUGACUGCCGAGUGGUAAGAUGUAUCUCGAUUCUGCAUAGAACCUCUUUUUGUUAACAUCAUAAUAGGAUCAUAGCCUUCUUUAUGCUUGAAAAUGCAUUGUAAAUUUUUCAUUUGUAAGUUGGUCAUCUUUAAGUUGUUAACAAAAUAGACAGAGAAACAGAAAAAGCUUUAUCUGAUUUUAUAAGCUUGUUCUUUAAGCAAUGGAAUCUUCCCUUGUUGCUCUUGAUUAAAAAUUCUUUUCCCUACUGUUUCAGGAUGAAGAUGUGUACACCUUCU